rnacentral:rRNA from 1 species
AGAGGUGAAAGCCUGGAGCUCAACUCCAGAAUUGCCUUUAAGACUGCAUCGCUCGAAUCCAGGAGAGGUGAGUGGAAUUCCGAGUGUAGAGGUGAAAUUCGUAGAUAUUCGGAAGAACACCAGAGGCGAAGGCGGCUCAUGGACUGGUAUUGACGCUGAGGUGCGAAAGCGUGGGGACCAAACAGGAUUAGAUAGCCUGUAGUCCCACGCCGUAAACGAUGGAUAACUAGCUGUCAGGGUUCACAGAACUUUUGGUGGCGCAGCUUAACGCAUUAAGUUUAUCCGCCUGGGGAGUACGGUCGCAAGAUUAAAACUCAAAGGAAUUGACGGGGGCCUGCACAAGCGGUGGAGCAUGUGGUUUAAUUCGAAGCAACGCGCAGAACCUUACCAGCGGUUGACAUGCCUAGUAUGGUUUCCAGAGAUGGAUUCCUUCAGUUCGGCUGGCUAGUGCACAGGUGCUGCAUGGCUGUCGUCAGCUCGUGUCGUGAGAUGUUGGGUUAAGUCCCGCAACGAGCGCAACCCUCGUCUUUAGUUACCAUCAUUUAGUUGGGUACUCUAAAGAAACCGCCGGUGAUAAGCCGGAGGAAGGUGGGGAUGACGUCAAGUCCUCAUGGCCCUUACGCGCUGGGCUACACACGUGCUACAAUGGCGACUACAGUGGGCUGCAAUCCCGCGAGGGUGAGCUAAUCUCCAAAAGUCGUCUCAGUUCGGAUUGUUCUCUGCAACUCGAGAGCAUGA